UACUCUAACUAAAGCUGCGUACCCUUCACU
rnacentral:piRNA from 1 species